UACAGAGGGGGCAAGCGUUAUUCGGAAUUAUUGGGCGUAAAGGGCGCGUAGGCGGCUUUGCAAGUGACGGGUGAAAUCCCUCGGCUUAACCGAGGAACUGCCUGUCAAACUGCAUGGCUUGAGACCGGGAGAGGUGAGUGGAAUUCCCAGUGUAGCGGUGAAAUGCGUAGAUAUUGGGAGGAACACCGGUGGCGAAGGCGGGUCUCUGGGCCGUAACUGACGCUGAGGAGCGAAAGCAUGGGGAGCGAACAGG
rnacentral:rRNA from 1 species